rnacentral:lncRNA from 1 species
UUUACACUCUGCAUGGCCAGAGCGUUGUGUACAUAGGGCUUUGACUCUGUAGUGGAUCAGCUACUGUGACUGCUCAGGUAACUCAACAGAUGUCACAUGCAGUUUAGAACCUUGGAGGACUGAGAGCAGUGAGGUGAAAGGGGCAGGAAAUUCUCCCGUCUUGAUGAUCUGUUCCAUAUGUCAAGGUGUCAUUUGGGGGAGCCAUGAAGUCUUUGAGUCCUGAAGAGAGGAAGCAAAACUUUUAGGAUCUUAUGCUGCCUUCCGGACCCCUCUCCACUUGCUGACUACUGGAGCCCUGUGGAAACCCACUGGAAACCAACAGAUCAGAGUGGGGAUAUGAAGGGGGAAUUUGGACAUGGGUCACUGGCCAGGGACCUAUGUAG